UUCACAAAAUGUCUGGAAUUAUCUACUACCUAACAUACGCGCUUGGCUUGGCAAUCGCUGCCACUUAUGGCCACGAAGCGAGCAUUUAUUGCAACGACUGUUCAGCAGCAAAUGAAAAUUGUAAAAUCAGUGAAUUUGGACGCAGUUGCAGGGACCUGCCCCCUGACUACAGCAACAGCAGUGCCACAGAUUUGGGCACCUAUAACCCUCUGGAGCAUGGCCACAGUAGCAGUAAUCUAGCCGACUGCAUUCCAGAAGGUAUGAAUACCUCGUUACAGAGAAUCACUACUUCUGUUGCACUUGGUCCAAGGAGCUUGGCUGUCAGCAGAUCAAAUUCACGUCCCACCACCUCUUUGUGCAGUGCAAUUGGUGUGUGCCCGAGAAGGUUCCCGCUAGAAAGGAAGAUUAUCAUCGUUGUCCUUGCAACAAAUGCCCUGGGGAACUGUGCGACGGCACCUGUCUCAUUGCGCUUGGCCUUUCCUUCUAUGGUGUUUUCAAACGCUCUUUGAUUUCCGCUUAAGAAGGAUUCCGCCUCUUGCCGGGAGAUGCAGACAGUCAUAGCACAUUUCUGACUAAAACAAUUGCAUUGGAGCUGAACAAGAAUCAGAA